UACGUAGGGUGCAGGCGUUGUUCGGAAUUACUGGGCGUAAAGCGCACGUAGGCGGCUUUGUAAGUUAGAGGUGAAAGCCCAGGGCUUAACCCUGGAAUUGCCUUUAAGACUGCAUCGCUAGAAUCGUGGAGAGGUGAGUGGAAUUCCGAGUGUAGAGGUGAAAUUCGUAGAUAUCGGAAGGAACACCUGUGGCGAAAGCGGCUCACUGGACCAUAGCUGACGCUGAGGCGCGAAAGCUAGGGGAGCAAACAGG
rnacentral:rRNA from 1 species